rnacentral:rRNA from 1 species
GAUGAACGCUAGCGGCAGGCUUAACACAUGCAAGUCGAGGGGCAGCGGGAGUAGCAAUACUUGCCGGCGACCGGCGCAAGGGUGCGUAACGCGUGAGCAACAUGCCCGUAUCAGGGGGAUAAUCCAUGGAAACGUGGUCUAAUACUCCAUAGUAAAUUUUUGGGGCAUCUCAAAGAUUUUAACGCUUUGGUGGAUACGGAUUGGCUCGCGUGACAUUAGCUAGAUGGUAAGGUAACGGCUUACCAUGGGUACGAUGUCUAGGGGUUCUGAGAGGAAGGUCCCCCACACUGGAACUGAGACACGGUCCAGACUCCUACGGGAGGCAGCAGUGAGGAAUAUUGGACAAUGGAUGGAAAUCUGAUCCAGCCAUGCCGCGUGCAGGAAGACGGCCCUAUGGGUUGUAAACUGCUUUUGUAUGGGAGCAAUAAGGUCUACGUGUAGACCGAUGAGAGUACCAUACGAAUAAGCACCGGCUAACUCCGUGCCAGCCGCCGCAGUAA